GGGGUAUAUGUCUUCGGAUAUAGAGACCGGCGCACGGGUGCGUAACGCGUAUGCAAUCUGCCUUUUACAGAGGGAUAGCCCAGAGAAAUUUGGAUUAAUACCUCAUAGCAUAGCAGCUUCGCAUGAAGCAGCUAUUAAAGUCACAACGGUAAAAGAUGAGCAUGCGUCCCAUUAGCUAGUUGGUAAGGUAACGGCUUACCAAGGCUACGAUGGGUAGGGGUCCUGAGAGGGAGAUCCCCCACACUGGUACUGAGACACGGACCAGACUCCUACGGGAGGCAGCAGUGAGGAAUAUUGGACAAUGGGCGCAAGCCUGAUCCAGCCAUGCCGCGUGCAGGAUGACGGUCCUAUGGAUUGUAAACUGCUUUUGUACGAGAAGAAACACUCCUACGUGUAGGAGCUUGACGGUAUCGUAAGAAUAAGGAUCGGCUAACUCCGUGCCAGCAGCCGCGGUAAUACGGAGGAUCCAAGCGUUAUCCGGAAUCAUUGGGUUUAAAGGGUCCGUAGGCGGUUUAGUAAGUCAGUGGUGAAAGCCCAUCGCUCAACGGUGGAACGGCCAUUGAUACUGCUAAACUUGAAUUAUUAGGAAGUAACUAGAAUAUGUAGUGUAGCGGUGAAAUGCUUAGAGAUUACAUGGAAUACCAAUUGCGAAGGCAGGUUACUACUAAUGGAUUGACGCUGAUGG
rnacentral:rRNA from 1 species